ensembl:lncRNA
GUGAUUCUGAAUGUUAUUGUUUACCGGUGUUGUUUUUAUUGAUCCAAUAAGGGCGGAAGUUCCUGCUGUAAUGGCAAAGCAAACCGGCUUUUUUUGUGCAUGAAUACUGAAGCUCGCGCUUCACUACAGGCUUUACAGGCUUAUAAUGUCUGGAUCGGGCUGCCAUCUAGCGUACAGUAGCUAGACAAUUACAGGGAAAUAGGAGUGAAUAAUUUAUUGUUAGCGGGUAUUUUACAAAAUAUUGCUUAGGACUUUUUUUUUCUUUUUCUUUUUUUUGCAUUUAAUGAGGUUUGCUUUAUUGAUGUAUUUUUGUUAAUGAAAAAAAAGAAGCAUUUUGACUGUAUUUCCGGCAAUUUAGUUAAACCUUAAUGCUUUUGGUAAAAUAAGAUAUUCAGAUCAUUUGGCGUAAGUUCGAUUAUUAGUUCGGAAGCAUUGUUUUUAUUCAAUUAAUUGUUUAUUUUUUUUAGGCUUUAUGAUUUAUAUUGUGUAAACACCGAUAUUUAGACGAUUGUAAAUAUAAUACCUCACGUAAACACGUAUACGGACAAAAUUCCAGCGAAGCAUUAUUUCGGAAGUUAGACAUUAAUGAGGCUCAAAACAUCGCUGUUUUUGGUGAAAGAGUGUUUGCGCAUCGUCUCUUCUGUUCCGCAAACGCACCGCGCUGCCCUCUGUCCUCGGCACACAAAAAAAGGUGAAACGAAGGGGAUUAAAUCAGACAAAGGGCAAACUUCUGUAAGUGUAUCAUCAAGAUUUUACUCCACAGACUGGGAAGAGAGCGAGGGAGAGGCGAGAGAGAGGGAGAGGGGCAGCGAAUGGGAACGCAAGGCGAAGGCAGGGAAACAGCGAGAGAGAGAGAGGGAGAAGAGAAGAAGGAGAAGUGGACACCGCUGCAAACACACGCCGCUACACUGCAACACCGUUCCCUGGAAUUCUGCUCGUUUCGCACAGGUUUGGCUAACAGUGAAACUUGAGCAGCUGCAGCAUGUUCUUCAGCACGGAUAUGGAAAGCUGUGGUCACAUGUCACAUAAUGACAGCUCUGUUAGUUGCUGUCUGUUUGUUACGAAAAUGCACUGACCUCAUCAACAUAAUCAGCGGCUAUGAUUGUAUUGUUUAUAAUGAUAACAUGAACUGAAGAAUGCUUGCUAAGACAUCCAAUAAAUAUGUUUGAAUGGGAAUGAUUGUAAUUAUUAUUUUUUUUGUGAGUCACUGCUUCGUAAAAAGCUCUACUUGUGCUUGCUAAAUUGUCUGUUUUAUCUGUCUGCCAUCUCUGACAUUCUUCCAGCAGUAUAUAUGCUUAGGUCAUAAAAUUGGGGCUCAGAGUGGAUUGAAAAUGUUCAUGUUAAAAUGGCAGACGGCAACAGAGUUCACAUAUGUUCAAAGGUAAAAUAUAGGACCUUGAAGAGUCCUGUCCUCCGAGGGAACCAUUAAACUGAAACUCUUUUGGAUCGGCUUGAAACUCUUUUCUUAUCCGAACUAAAACCUUUUGGAAGCUGAGAAGCCUUGGCUAUACAGAAGAACCAUAUUAAGAAUCAGUACAGGAACACUAACUGAAAAACAAACACAGGAAGUGCUAUGCCUACAUCUCUGUUUAUGCUCUGUCCUUCUCUCACACUGUACAAUGUGUGUGUCCUCUUUCACCUCUCUCUAUCAGCUCUAUCAGAUCUGAGCAGGAAAGAAUGCAGCAGUCCCAAACACACACAUUCCUCUAGGCUAGCUUUAUAAUAUUCCCGUCCGAAACAUGCAUUACAGCCUUAAUUUCAUGUGAAAUAAUAAUAAAAAAGCACAAAAUGUAUUCACAGCUGUGUUCUUCCUGGACUUCCUGCAUAACAACUGCAUUGUUUUGGGAAAUGUACUGUAUAUUAAGUGUCUUGAAUACCUGUGUAGAGAUAUAUAAACUACAUAAACAACUAUAAUGUAAAUACUGAGCAUGUAUAUACUGUUCCAACUGGAAUGCAGUAGUACAUUUGUAUAAAUGUAUAUCUAGAAAGAACACAAGUGCAUGUUGGCACAAGUGUAUGCUGACAUCAGGUCUCUCUCGUGUGUAACAGGGGAAGAUAAAUUCAUUUGUGCUGGAUUGCCAAUGAGAUUUUCUUUCUGAUUGUGACAGUAUGUACAUAACUGACCAGUAAAUGUUUUUUCUGUAUAGUUUCCAAGUAAGUAAACACACUUUAUUAUAAUUUAUUAUAACAAGUUAUUAUAAUUUGUUUUUAUAAAACACAAAGGCUAAAUAAAAAAGUCAACAAACAUAACGGAGAUGGAAAUAAGAAAGAGAUAGCAAAACAGUAAAAGCCCAAAUUAAAAAAAAAAAAAGGGUAAAGAAAGUAAGUAAGAAUAAAGAUAAAUUAAUUCAGCCACAUCUUUUAUUAUCCUAAUCAUGACUGCACAGUAUGUGGCUGCUAAAUAUCUCCUCAUAUUACAAAAUGAUAAUUGGCUUACUUAAUGUUCACUAUUAUCAUUUGAUGCUAAUGUCAUGUCUGACAGAGCACAGAGAACGAAUAUGAUACCACUCGGUCCCUCGUUGUGUCCUGGACUUUUCCUUCUAGGUAUUUGUGACUCAGCCGUGCCAGCAUGAACAAAAGCUAUGCUUCUUCAUCUAUUAGAGCAUGGUUAAAGGUAAGUGGCACCCCCUAUUAGGAUGACAAGGAAAUUAAUGGUACAGUCUGUCCCCUGGUUGUGCAUUACUUAUUUAUAAGUUAACAACCUUUCCUUGCUUUGGGCAUGUCUGUUACAAUUUUUGAGAGCGCAGGUGAACGCCUCAUACACCUGAGAUACGACUGGCACGAAAGCAAAUAUACAGUGUAUUUACUGUUAAUCUCUUAAAAAAAAAAAAAAAAAAAAAAAUGUUACUGUGACUGAGCCUUUAGUGUAUUUGUACAGAACACUACUGAAGGAAACAUCAUGUAUUCGAAUGAAAUAAACUGACCACUAGCAUGUACAUCUUGUCGUUUCCUUUUUUUUCUCUCCCUUUGUCUGAUAUCACAUGGUUUAUCGAGGGCAUUAUUGUGUACAGCUCUCAAAGGACCAAGAUGCUUCCCUUUGCGGAUCACGUGGCAGGAUCAUGUGUGUAGUUAUGAAUUUCUUAUUGGCUGGCAACAAUGUGGCAUGUAUUACUGGAUUUUUUAUGGCAUGGGGUGGGGUGUCUAUGGGCAUAACCUUUGUAUAGGAGCAUAGCUAAGCUUUUAACCAUUCGUGCUGAUGAGGGGACCGCAGCCCUAAUUUUGUGGGUGAUGACACCUGCCCUUUUCAGCAGGCUGCAGGAGAAGCCAUGGGAAUGCUCGCAUGCAACAGAGGGUCUGAGCAUUGGAACAAUGUGCGUGAAUGUGCUGCCACAUGAACAAUGCAACACCACAUGGUGAGGUGAUGGUGGGUGGAAAAGAGAUCGCUGUUUUCAAUGCCCACCCCCACUGUGAUUCCCCUCUCUCUUUCUCUCUCCCCUCCUGUAGUCCCCUCCUCUUUGGUGGACCUUCCUAUAAAUCUUUUCUGUCAUACCUGUUUUUUGUACAGUGUGAAUAAGUAAACAGCAAAUCCCAAUGUCCUGCCUUUAUGAGGACACAGCCCAGUAGACACAAGACUUACUGGAUACAGGAUUAUGUCCUGUAUCAUGCAGUAGCUGUAUUUAUAAUCUGUCUUUCAUCCCUCUGUGUUCACACACAGGACUAUGGGGUUGCAGCUGUGUGGCAGCUGCCUUUACUGUGUGUCUAGCCUUGUGUGGAUCUUGCCUUGCAGAAAGCCAGCGUUUGCCGC